AUUGAACGCUGGCGGCAGGCCUAACACAUGCAAGUCGAGCGGAUGAAGGGAGCUUGCUCCUGGAUUCAGCGGCGGACGGGUGAGUAAUGCCUAGGAAUCUGCCUGGUAGUGGGGGAUAAAGUCCAGAAACGGGCGCUAAUACCGCAUACGUCCUGAGGGAGAAAGUGGGGGAUCUUCGGACCUCACGCUAUCAGAUGAGCCUAGGUCGGAUUAGCUAGUUGGUGGGGUAAAGGCCUACCAAGGCGACGAUCCGUAACUGGUCUGAGAGGAUGAUCAGUCACACUGGAACUGAGACACGGUCCAGACUCCUACGGGAGGCAGCAGUGGGGAAUAUUGGACAAUGGGCGAAAGCCUGAUCCAGCCAUGCCGCGUGUGUGAAGAAGGUCUUCGGAUUGUAAAGCACUUUAAGUUGGGAGGAAGGGCAGUAAGUUAAUACCUUGCUGUUUUGACGUUACCAACAGAAUAAGCACCGGCUAACUUCGUG
rnacentral:rRNA from 1 species